rnacentral:rRNA from 1 species
ACGAACGCUGGCGGCGUGCUUAACACCUGCAAGUCGAACGGAAGGGCCCUGCUUUUGUGGGGUGCUCGAGUGGCGAACGGGUGAGUAACACGUGAGUAACCUGCCCUUGACUUUGGGAUAACUUCAGGAAACUGGGGCUAAUACCGGAUAGGAGCUCCUGCUGCAUGGUGGGGGUUGGAAAGUUUCGGCGGUUGGGGAUGGACUCGCGGCUUAUCAGCUUGUUGGUGGGGUAGUGGCUUACCAAGGCUUUGACGGGUAGCCGGCCUGAGAGGGUGACCGGCCACAUUGGGACUGAGAUACGGCCCAGACUCCUACGGGAGGCAGCAGUGGGGAAUAUUGCACAAUGGGCGGAAGCCUGAUGCAGCAACGCCGCGUGCGGGAUGACGGCCUUCGGGUUGUAAACCGCUUUCGCCUGUGACGAAGCGUGAGUGACGGUAAUGGGUAAAGAAGCACCGGCUAACUACGUG